CAAAUUAUGCAUAAAAUAAAAUCUGCGGAAACGCUAAAAUAUUGAGAUAAUGUACAUUAAUAGUCCAAAAGUAAAUAAAAUUCAAGAUGAUCACAUAUAUAUGACAUAAGGUACUAAGUAGUACAUAAAAAUUAUAAGUGUUUGAAAUAUAGUAUAAUUACGGAUGGUGAUAAAACGAAACGAGAUGAAUCUAAAAUUAUAUUUAUAUUAUUUAGCUAUAAAAUUUUAUCAAUCGCUAAAUAACCGUGGAUGCAUGUGACGAGGGGACCAUAUAUUGCCCAAAAAACAGUGAUUUUGUGAGCCAGAUUGGGUACUAUAGCGUAACUGAAUAGGGCUUUGCCAAGUAGUAGUCAUUAAUUAAUUAUACUUGAAAGAUAUAGACUAUACUUUGCCUUUUUAAGUCUAUUAGAUAAAUAGAAAAAGCCUAGCUAGACAAGUCUUAUUGCUUUUCCUUUUCUAAAAGCUAGGAUCUUGAAUUUUAAGUCAUUUUUGUGCAUGCCUAUCACUGCCAUGUUCAUUUUUAAAAGGAAAUUUUUGUCCAAAUUUUAUUACCAGAGAUAUCCGCAUUUACCUUUGAUAAAGAAAUAUAUUUUGAGUCGUUUGAUGCCUAGCUAAGAUGUGAACUAUUCAUUUAUUAAGUAGUAUUAUCUCCGUUUUACAAAGAAUGACCUAAUUUAAUUUGACACGGAGUUUAAAAGUAUAAAGAAGACUUCUGAAUCUUGUGGUCUUAAAUUAAAGUUAGAUCAAAUAUACAAAAUUUGAUCUUGUGGUCUUAAACAUGUCACAUGGAAAGUGGUUACUAAGAAAAGAAAUAGGUUAUUCUUUUUUAAACAUACUAAAAAGAAAAAAAAAUCAGUCUUUUGAAAACGGUGGGAAUAUAUAUUAGACCCUAACAAGUCGUUUGGUGCCAUGUUAAGACGCGAACUAUUCAUUUAUUAAGUUAAAGUCAACAAACCCUGAGGGGUAGCUCGGCUGGUAAAGGCUCGAGAACAAAGUCUUCAGGUCGCCAGUUCAAACCCCAGCAGAGCCACUAAAGGCAUAACAAAUCGGUUGCGUCUCCAGGGCCACGUGAAACUAACCGUGGUGCAUCCGUCUUGAAACAGCGUGAUCCAAUGAAUAUAACUAGUAGGGUUUGCAAAGCGACACCCCGAAAACCAUAAUUAUAUGUGAUUUUCAAUGGAUGAUGAUUAAUUCUGUCAGUAAAAAAAACCAUACACUUGAUAACAAUUGUACUAUUGAUAGUGUGUACCUCCACUCAUUUAUUAAGUUUUAACUCAAAAAAGAGUAAAAUCUAUAGUGGAGCCCACAUUAUAUUAUGUAGGCUUUUUCUGUACAAAGGAAAUUAAGACAAGUAGAAUGGGUCCCUGUUAACAAAGAGAAGCACCUAAUUCCUCUGCUGGGAAAUUCUGGUGAUUAGAAGCUGGGGUGAAGCCGAAGGAGGUUCAACAUUAUUUAUAUAAGAUUAAAAUUAAUUUUUGUAUAUAUAUAGUAUAUGUCAAAUUUUCUUAAUUUUUUAUUUUUAUAUUUAUUUAGGACUUUAAAUUUAGAUGUAUCUUCUUUAUAAUUAACCUUUUUAUUUUUUAUAAUAAAAUAUUACUAAGAUUGGAGGUCAUCCAAAAUUCCAAAGAAUCUCUAUAUGAGAUGAAAAUGUAAACGUUAUUUAUAGUGAAAAUGAAAAUGCAUAUUACUUAAUUCAGUUGGUAAAAAUCUUAACUAACCUACUAAUAAGAAGUUGAGUAAAGCCUAUAUGUAACUAAUUAAUUAUGGAAUUAAGACUUCCAUAUACUUGUAAUUAAUAAUUACAUAGAGAACCUCUUUGUUUUUGGCU